rnacentral:rRNA from 1 species
UACGGAGGGGGCUAGCGUUGUUCGGAAUUACUGGGCGUAAAGCGCACGUAGGCGGACUGUUAAGUCUGAUGUGAAAGCCCGGGGCUCACCCCCGGAAGUGCAUUGGAAACUGGCGGACUCGAGUCCCGGAGAGGAGAGUGGAAUUCCUGGUGUAGCGGUGAAAUGCGUAGAUAUCAGGAGGAACACCGGUGGCGAAGGCGGCUCUCUGGACGGUGACUGACGCUGAGACGCGAAAGCGUGGGGAGCAAACAGG